UACGUAGGGGGCGAGCGUUGUCCGGAUUUAUUGGGCGUAAAGAGCGUGUAGGCGGUUCGGUAAGUCUGUCGUGAAAUCCUGAGGCUCAACCUCGGGCGUGCGAUGGAUACUGCCGGGCUAGAGGGUGGUAGAGGCGAGUGGAAUUCCCGGUGUAGCGGUGAAAUGCGCAGAUAUCGGGAGGAACACCAGUAGCGAAGGCGGCGACCUGGGCAGAUACUGACACUGAGGUGCGAAAGCGUGGGGAGCAAACAGG
rnacentral:rRNA from 1 species